rnacentral:rRNA from 1 species
GUGGGGAAUUUUGGGCAAUGGGCGAAAGCCUGACCCAGCAACGUCGCGUGAAUGAUGAAAUCUUUCGGGAUGUAAAAUUCAUAAGUAGGGAAAGAAUAGAAGGCUUAGGCUUUCGAUGACGGUACCUUAUUUAAGCCCCGGCUAACUCCGUGCCAGCAGCCGCGGUAAUACGGGGGGGGCAAGCGUUGUUCGGAAUUAUUGGGCGUAAAGGGCGUGUAGGUGGUUUAGAAAGUCAGAUGUGAAAUCUUAGAGCUUAACUCUGAGCGGUCAUUUGAUACUUCUAUACUAGAGUGCAGAAGGGGUAGUUAGAAUUCCUGGUGUAGCGGUGAAAUGCGUAGAUAUCAGGAAGAAUAUCGGUGGCGAAGGCGAACUACUGGGCUGACACUGACACUGAGGCGCGAAAGCUAGGGGAGCAAACGGGAUUAGAUACCCCGGUAGUCC